AACCCAUACUGAGGACAUUUUCGCAGGAGAUCCUAGAACUUAUCCCAUGUCUCAAAAAGUGACUCCAAUUGCAUUAGUACAAAAGAGGAUAUUUCAUUCCUGAGCUU